GACGAACGCUCGCGGCGUGCUUAACACAUGCAAGUCGAACGGAAAGGCCCUGCUUUUGUGGGGUGCUCGAGUGGCGAACGGGUGAGUAACACGUGAGUAACCUGCCCUUGACUUUGGGAUAACUUCAGGAAACUGGGGCUAAUACCGGAUAGGAGCUCCUGCUGCAUGGUGGGGGUUGGAAAGUUUCGGCGGUUGGGGAUGGACUCGCGGCUUAUCAGCUUGUUGGUGGGGUAGUGGCUUACCAAGGCUUUGACGGGUAGCCGGCCUGAGAGGGUGACCGGCUACAUUGGGACUGAGAUACGGCCCAGACUCCUACGGGAGGCAGCAGUGGGGAAUAUUGCACAAUGGGCGGAAGCCUGAUGCAGCAACGCCGCGUGCGGGAUGACGGCCUUCGGGUUGUAAACCGCUUUCGCCUGUGACGAAGCGUGAGUGACGGUAAUGGGUAAAGAAGCACCGGCUAACUACGUG
rnacentral:rRNA from 1 species